rnacentral:rRNA from 1 species
AACGAACGCUGGCGGCGUGCCUAACACAUGCAAGUCGAACGAGAAAGGGGCUUCGGCUCCGAGUAAAGUGGCGCACGGGUGAGUAACACGUGGGUAACCUGCCUCUAAGAUUGGGAUAACUCGUCGAAAGAUGAGCUAAUACCGAAUAAGACCACAGUUCCCGCGGGAACAGGGGUCAAAGGUAGCCUCUGCUUGCAAGCUAUCACUUAGAGAUGGGCCUGCGCACCAUUAGCUAGUUGGUAGGGUAACGGCCUACCAAGGCAAAGAUGGUUAGCUGGUCUGAGAGGAUGAUCAGCCACACUGGAACUGAGACACGGUCCAGACGCCUACGGGAGGCAGCAGUGGGGAAUAUUGCGCAAGGGGCGAAAGCUUGACGCAGCAACGCCGCGUGAGUGAUGAAGGCCUUCGGGUCGUAAAGCUCUGUCGGGAGGAACGAAUGCUCCUGAGGUUAACAGCCUCGGGAGGUGACGGUACCUUCAAAGGAAGCACCGGCUAACUCUGUG